CUUCCUGGCAAUGGGCAAAGGGAUGCUUUGUUGGUGGUGCUAUUCUUGUAUCAAUCAUGGACAGAGCACAUGUCAGUACUUUGUUCAUCAUAGCUUGAUGCCUGGCUUGAUGGCCAAACUGACUUAUGCUUAGGACUCCUAA